UACAGAGGUCUCAAGCGUUGUUCGGAUUCAUUGGGCGUAAAGGGUGCGUAGGCGGCGGGGUAAGUCAGGUGUGAAAUCUCGGGGCUCAACCCCGAAACUGCACUUGAUACUGCCUCGUUUGAGUACUGGAGAGGAGACUGGAAUUUACGGUGUAGCAGUGAAAUGCGUAGAUAUCGUAAGGAAGACCAGUGGCGAAGGCGAGUCUCUGGACAGUUACUGACGCUGAGGCACGAAGGCCAGGGGAGCAAACGGG
rnacentral:rRNA from 1 species